rnacentral:lncRNA from 1 species
GCAUAAUUGCAAAUAUAACGGAAUUUGACUAGACUGUCAUCAAAGUGAGAGGGUUGGCGCUAUAAAACCAGGUUUAAUCCACCAUUUUCUACAUUUGAAAAUGCUGUGCCAAGUCAGGAAUAUGACAGUUCUUGUCCAUUCGUUUUUGAUGUGUUUUGUUAUUUGAUUUUGCCAUGUGAUUAUGAACUUUCUGAUUAGAUUUUCCUCUAAGUUCAGUAUUUGUGAUUUUACUUUUUUCAAUAGACGUAAACAUUGUUUGUUUAAUUAUUAUAAUCUUAAAUACAGGUUAUUUUCAAUUUCCCAAUUUUAUCAAGGUAGCUAAAAGCUCAUCCUCUGAAGCGAUAUUCAAAUGCUUGUCUUUUACUAAUUGUUUUACUCAAUUUGAAAAUAAAAGUUCAUUUUAGUACAAACGUGAUUUUAAUAUACUAGUAACCAAAACAUGAAAUUAUAUCUUUAUGGUAAGCAUAACAGAUAUGCAUGCAAACGUUUUGCUUCCUAGUUUAUUGGUAUAUAGACUUCUAUUCAUUACUAUUCAUUACUAUUUUUGAGACAAUCUCUUACACCUUAGGUAAAAACAUUCGUUACAAAGGUUUAUUAGCGACCGUAAAAGUAAAUUGUUCGCAUUCCUAUUGAUAAUUAAUUAAUGUUAAAAUCCUCUUAAUUCUUAACCAGAAUUUAAUUUCUCUUUAAAUACAUUUAAUUAUUAACUCGCUUUUUUCUCUCGAUCAUAUGAAAAAAAGUAUAGAAAUGCUCAGAUGUGUAAAUUUCUUGUAUAAGUUUAAAUAAGAUCAUAUAAAUAGACUGGAGUUUAUUCUCCAAGUUUAUCUAUAUUUAUUCAUAUAUCAUAUUUCUAUCUGUCUAUACGAACAUAAUCUAUCUGAUAUACAAUUCUUUUUUACAUGCAGUGUAAUUAGUCGGUUUCCCAUAUCACAUAUAUGACAAACUACGAGAUACUUGAUAUGUAAAUAAAUUAUAAUCUUGUAUUGAGCACAGUUAUGUUUGUUAUUUUAGA